UACGUAGGGUGCGAGCGUUGUCCGGAAUUAUUGGGCGUAAAGAGCUCGUAGGCGGUGUGUCGCGUCGGCCGUGAAAACCUGGGGCUCAACUCUGGGCGUGCGGUCGAUACGGGCAUCACUUGAGUUCGGCAGGGGAGACUGGAAUUCCUGGUGUAGCGGUGAAAUGCGCAGAUAUCGGGAGGAACACCGGUGGCGAAGGCGGGUCUCUGGGCCGAUACUGACGCUGAGGAGCGAAAGCGUGGGGAGCGAACAGG
rnacentral:rRNA from 1 species